ACGAACGCUGGCGGCGUGCUUAACACAUGCAAGUCGAACGGAAAGGCCCUGCUUUUGUGGGGUGCUCGAGUGGCGAACGGGUGAGUAACACGUGAGUAACCUGCCCUUGACUUUGGGAUAACUUCAGGAAACUGGGGCUAAUACCGGAUAGGAGCUCCUGCUGCAUGGUGGGGGUUGGAAAGUUUCGGCGGUUGGGGAUGGACUCGCGGCUUAUCAGCUUGUUGGUGGGGUAGUGGCUUACCAAGGCUUUGACGGGUAGCCGGCCUGAGAGGGUGACCGGCCACAUUGGGACUGAGAUACGGCCCAGACUCCUACGGGAGGCAGCAGUGGGGAAUAUUGCACAAUGGGCGGAAGCCUGAUGCAGCAACGCCGCGUGCGGGAUGACGGCCUUCGGGUUGUAAACCGCUUUCGCCUGUGAUGAAGCGUGAGUGACGGUAAUGGGUAAAGAAGCACCGGCUAACUACGUG
rnacentral:rRNA from 1 species